CUGGUCUUGACAUCCACGGAAGUUUUCAGAGAUGAGAAUGUGCCUUCGGGACCCGUGAGACAGGUGCUGCAUGCCUGUCGUCAGCUUCGUGUUGUGAAAUGUUGGGUUAAGUUCCCGCAACGAGCGCACCCUUUAUCCUUUGUUGCCAGCGGUCCGGCCGGGAACUCAAAGGAGACUGCCAGUGAUAAACUGGAGGAAGGUGGGGAUGACGUCAAGUCAUCAUGGCCCUUACGACCAGGGCUACACACGUGCUACAAUGGCGCAUACAAAGAGAAGCGACCUCGCGAGAGCAAGCGGACCUCAUAAAGUGCGUCGUAGUCCGGAUUGGAGUCUGCAACUCGACUCCAUGAAGUCGGAAUCGCUAGUAAUCGUGGAUCAGAAUGCCACGGUGAAUACGUUCCCGGGCCUUGUACACACCGCCCGUCACACCAUGGGAGUGGGUUGCAAAAGAAGUAGGUAGCUUAACCUUCGGGAGGGCGCUUACCACUUUGUGAUUCAUGACUGGGGUG
rnacentral:rRNA from 1 species